rnacentral:rRNA from 1 species
GAUGAACGCUGGCGGCGUGCCUAAUACAUGCAAGUAGAACGCUGAAGGAGGAGCUUGCUCUUCUGGAUGAGUUGCGAACGGGUGAGUAACGCGUAGGUAACCUGCCUGGUAGCGGGGGAUAACUAUUGGAAACGAUAGCUAAUACCGCAUGACAACAGUUAUUGCAUGAUAACUGUUUAAAAGGGGCAACUGCUCCACUACCAGAUGGACCUGCGGUGUAUUAGCUAGUUGGUGAGGUAACGGCUCACCAAGGCGACGAUACAUAGCCGACCGGAGAGGGUGAUCGGCCACACUGGGACGGAGACCCGGCCCAGACUGCUACGGGAGGGAGCAGUAGGGAAACUUCGGCAAUGGACGGAAGUCUGACCGAGAAACGCCGAGGGAGUGAAGAAGGUUGUCGGAUCGUAAAGCUCGGUUGUAAGAGAAGAACGAGUGUGAGAGUGGAAAGUUCACACUGUGACGGUAGCUGACCAGAAAGGGACGGCUAACUACGUG